CAUAUCUGGAAAUUCACCCUCUUUAUGAUGCGUCACUGCCGGCGUUCUUGAACACAAGCCUGAAGAUGAAGAUGCUACCAGGCUCUGCAUGCCUGGUUGCAGGCUUUCCCUAGAGAAUGGGCUCCAUCUUACGAACAGAAAGUAGUUCUUGAUAAAAAACACAAUGUGAGGAUGUGGGGAGGAGUAUACGCUGCUAGAUGCCUGCCUCCAGCAGAACACGCAGUGGCCCAAGCCUGAGAACUUUGGAACAAAAGAGGCCAACCGCAGGGCUAAGCUCUCUGUGACCACGUCCUGCAGGAUAGGACGGCGGCCACGUGAGGAGCCCUCUGCCAAGAUGAGUGCGGAAUCUCAGACCUGCAGGUGCACACGAGCUCCACUGGGCAGAAUCCAGGCCCAGAGGCCGACCUUGCUCUCCAGACCUGCUCAAGGACACUGGACAUGGGAGGGCAAGGCAGCUGAUGAAGAAGUGGAGAUGUUUUCUCUCACAGAUAUCCUGCUCUUUCUCAAUAGUUCCCUCCAGGACCACUGGACAACAGUGGUGGGGAUGUUAGCCUGGAACCCUCCGUCACACCACAGAGCUUUGCCUGCAUACCGAGGAACAUGGGUCCAUGGAUCCUUCUGAAGGGAGCAAAGAAACAGAAGCCGGGACCUCAUGCCAAGAAGCAAACAGAAAAUGGAUAAAAUAUCACCUGAAGUUGAGUUGGAGCUCAGUCAUGGUCGCAAAGAACUCACAAACACAGAGAGGCUCCUCCAUCACCGGAAGCUCACUGCUCCCUCUGGUGUGAGGACACUGAGCAGGUGCCCUCCAGUCUACAGUUCCCGGCCUGCAUCACAGAGCAGGACAGCAUCAAGGCUUCUCAUGGAACAAAAAGGAAAAGGUGAGGCGAUUCCUCGCCCUGCUUCAGCUCUCACUGGUUGGCUGCACCCGCAGACCAGCACCGACUGUCCGACACGCCCCAGUGAGAUGAACCCGGUACCUCCGUUGAAAAUGCAGAAAUCACCCGUCUUCUGUGUCGCUCGCGCUGGGAGCUGGAGGCUGGAGCUGUUCCCAUUUGGCCAUCUUGGGCGCGCCCGAUCUGGUUUUUUACCCAAGAUGAAUCUUAAGCAGUGCUGCGUAUUGUAAAAUAAG
rnacentral:lncRNA from 1 species